rnacentral:rRNA from 1 species
AUUGAACGCUGGCGGCAGGCUUAACACAUGCAAGUCGAGCGGAGAUGAGGUGCUUGCACCUUAUCUUAGCGGCGGACGGGUGAGUAAUGCUUAGGAAUCUGCCUAUUAGUGGGGGACAACAUUCCGAAAGGAAUGCUAAUACCGCAUACGUCCUACGGGAGAAAGCAGGGGAUCUUCGGACCUUGCGCUAAUAGAUGAGCCUAAGUCGGAUUAGCUAGUUGGUGGGGUAAAGGCCUACCAAGGCGACGAUCUGUAGCGGGUCUGAGAGGAUGAUCCGCCACACUGGGCCUGAGACACCGCCCAGACGCCUAAGGGAUGCAGCAGUGGGGAAUAUUGGACAAUGGGGAAAACCCUGAUCCAGCCAUGCCGCGUGUGUGAAGAAGGCCUUAUGGUUGUAAAGCACUUUAAGCGAGGAGGAGGCUACUGAGACUAAUACUCUUGGAUAGUGGACGUUACUCGCAGAAUAAGCACCGGCUAACUCUGUGCCAGCAGCCGCAGUAA